rnacentral:lncRNA from 1 species
UGGGCUUGGAAAAAAAAUAAUAAAAAAAAAAUUAUACAGAUCUAUGUAAAUAUAGUGAAUGACAAAUAUAUUUCUAUAAAAUUUAACUUUUAUAUAUUACUCCUACAAAAGUUCUAAUAUUUUCAAAUAUAUCCCUCUGAUUUGUUACCAUUAAAGAACUGUUUAUAUUUUAAAAAUAUCAGAACUUUUGUAAGAACAACAUAUGAAAACUGAACUUUAUAAAAAUAUAUUUAUUAUUCACUAUACUUGUAAAGAACUGUAUAAAAUUAACCCGAGAGAGAG